AGACAGUCUGACCAAUAAAAAAAGUAGAAGGGCGAAGCCCAGCCAAUCUUGGAGCUCUGAUUAAACUGGCUACGUGCCAGUUCCAAACCAGGAGGUAGCAGUGCUUAUAACACACCUUGUGAUGGAAAAGACUGGACCUCCCUCAGGGCACAAGCAAGAAGAUCCACUAAGGAGAUGGUUCACAGUCAAGGACUGAAUGGUGACUUGAAAUAAGGUGACAGUGGAAAUGCUAUGUUGGUAGGAGUCACACCAGGUACAGUGGUGCACACCCAGAAUCCCUCACCAAGGAGGCCAGGGCAGGAGAACUACCAGAACUUCAACGGACUGGUGUGCCUUCACAUACUGAGACAUAGGUGUUGUGCCUGUCGUGCUAGCACUUGACUUAGUCGAGAGAAUCAUGAGUCACAGCCCGUCUUGAUCUCAAAAAAGGAGGAAGAGAAGAACAGCCACGAUGGUUCAGUAGGUAGAAGUGCUUUCUAUGAAGCCAAACAACUGUGAAACCCACAGUAGAAGGAUAAAUCUGAUUUCCAAAAGCUGUCCUCUGACCACACAAGUGCCAUGGGAUACGCCUGCAUGUUCCUUCGUACAAUAAUUGUUAAAAAGACGAGUUGCCUAUUUCAUGACUUGCCUAAGGAGACAAAGAAAGACAGAGCCAGGAGACAAGCUAGAGUUUAUAAUAUAAAUCAGUCUUAGGUUGUCCUCUGCAACACACGACAGUGCCACAUUUUGGUCCUAACAGAGUAAGAGAUACCAUCAAACUCCAUCUGAUUAACCAAAUCUAAUUUUCCAUUUCUUUGAGAUCUGACCAUCUGCAGCAAUUAGUCUUCUGUACAGUUUACAGUAUCAAUAUUUAGAUCAUAAUUUUAUUCUGGGAGACUACAUGCCCUUAGAAAAAUAAUAAAGAGGACAAUUAGCAUUCUUUGCCCUCCUUUUUCAGCCGUGUCUAAAAACAACUAGUGGUUUCCCAGGAGUGGGGAGGAAAUGGAAUAAGAAUCUUGAAUCUUUGAAAAGCGAAUUUGGUU
ensembl:lncRNA